AGAUCCCCCCCCCCAAAAAAAAUAAUAAUAUACACUUGUGUGUGUAUGUAUAUAUAUAUAUAUAUAUAUAUAUAUAUAUAUAUACACACACACACAUAUACAAGUGUAUAUAUUUUUUUUUGGGGGGGGGGGGAA